GCGGAGGGAUCAUUACCGAGUUUACAACUCCCAAACCCAAUGUGAACCAUACCAAACUGUUGCCUCGGCGGGGUCACGCCCCGGGUGCGUCGCAGCCCCGGAACCAGGCGCCCGCCGGAGGGACCAACCAAACUCUUUACUGUAGUCCCCUCGCGGACGUUAUUUCUUACAGCUCUGAGCAAAAAUUCAAAUGAAUCAAAACUUUCAACAACGGAUCUCUUGGUUCUGGCAUCGAUGAAGAACGCAGCGAAAUGCGAUAAGUAAUGUGAAUUGCAGAAUUCAGUGAAUCAUCGAAUCUUUGAACGCACAUUGCGCCCGCCAGUAUUCUGGCGGGCAUGCCUGUCCGAGCGUCAUUUCAACCCUCGAACCCCUCCGGGGGGUCGGCGUUGGGGAUCGGGAACCCCUAAGACGGGAUCCCGGCCCCGAAAUACAGUGGCGGUCUCGCCGCAGCCUCUCCUGCGCAGUAGUUUGCACAACUCGCACCGGGAGCGCGGCGCGUCCACGUCCGUAAAACACCCAACUUCUGAAAUGUUGACCUCGGAUCAGGUAGGAAUACCCGCUGAACUUAAGCA
rnacentral:rRNA from 1 species